CCUACGGGAGGCUGCAGUGAGGAAUAUUGGUCAUUGGGCGCGAGCCUGAACCAGCCAAGUAGCGUGAAGGAUGACUGCCCUACGGGUUGUACACUUCUUUUAUAAAGGAAUAAAGUGAGGCACGUGUGCCUUUUUGUAUGUACUUUCUGAAUAAGGAUCGGCUAACUCCUUGCCAGCAGCCGCGGUAAUACGGAGGAUCCGAGCGUUAUCCGGAUUUAAUGGGUUUAAAGGGAGCGUAGAUGGGUUGUUAAGUCAGUUGUGAAAGUUUGCGGCUCAACCGUAAAAUUGCAAUUGAUACUGGCAGUCUUGAGUACAGUUGAGGUAGGCGGAAUUCGUGGUGUAGCGGUGAAAUGCUUAGAUAUGACGAAGAACUCCGAUUGCGAAGGCAGCUUACUAAACUGCAACUGACAUUGAGGCUCGAAAGUGUGGGUAUCAAACAGGAUUAGAUACCCGUGUAGUC
rnacentral:rRNA from 1 species